UGGCUGGAUAAGGAGUUUGUAAG
rnacentral:piRNA from 1 species